UACGUAGGGUGCAAGCGUUGUCCGGAAUUAUUGGGCGUAAAGAGCUCGUAGGCGGUUUGUUGCGUCGGCUGUGAAAUCCCGAGGCUCAACCUCGGGUCUGCAGUCGAUACGAGCAAACUAGAGUGUUGCAGGGGAGACUGGAAUUCCUGGUGUAGCGGUGAAAUGCGCAGAUAUCAGGAGGAACACCGGUGGCGAAGGCGGAUCUCUGGGCCUGUUCUGACGCUGGAGGCGCGAAAGCUAGGGGAGCGAACAGG
rnacentral:rRNA from 1 species